CCUACGGGUGGCAGCAGUAGGGAAUCUUCCACAAUGGGCGAAAGCCUGAUGGAGCAACGCCGCGUGGGUGAAGAAGGUCUUCGGAUCGUAAAACCCUGUUGUUAGAGAAGAAAGUGCGUGAGAGUAACUGUUCACGUUUCGACGGUAUCUACCCAGAAAGCCCCGGCUAACUACGUGCCAGCAGCCGCGGUAAUACGUAGGUGGCAAGCGUUAUCCGGAUUUAGUGGGCGUAAAGGGAACGCAGGCGGUCUUGUAAGUCUGAUGUGAAAGCCUUCGGCUUAACCGGAGUAGUGCAUUGGAAACUGGGAGACUUGAGUGCAGAAGGGGGGAGUGGAACUCCAGGUGUAGCGGUGAAAUGCGUAGAUAUAGGGAAGAACACCAGUGGCGAAGGCGGCUCGCUGGACUGUAACUGACGCUGAGGUUCGAAGGCGUGGGUAGCAAACAGGAUUAGAUACCCCUGUAGUC
rnacentral:rRNA from 1 species